GCACAAUGUACUUAUUCUUUUUCGCACACUGUGUCUUCCUCGAGAGGAGCAAUGCAUCACGAGUUCCUGGCAUCUUCUCAGGACCAAUAAUGUACAAGGGUUACGUGUCGCUCUAUCACUGAUGCUUUAAAUAGAUGACCAGUCAGCCUUCCAAAAGGCUUCAUGGUUGUCUGGUGUGUUUUGAGCUCAGCUUGAGAUCCCAGUGAAGUCUCAACGAUCAAGAUGGGCUGCUUUUCCAUUCUUGUCCUCUUGGGCUUACUCUUGUUCUCUGCAGGUCUCACAGAAGGACGAUUCUCCUUUAAAGAGUGUGAAAGCUAUGGGGGUAGUUGCCACAUGUGGGGGUGUCCAGGAAACACACACCUCGGAAACUGUAAUAUCUACAACAUGGUUUGCUGUUCAAAGGUAGUUGAAUCUUAAGCGAACAAGGAGCUGUGACAAUGGGGUUCCAGUAAUCACAUGGUUACCAAAGAAGAAGCUAUGCUGUGCUUAUUGCCUAAAUGUAGAGUAGAAGGACAAUUGCAGAAAUGCCCACCCCCAUGCUAGCCCGUUUCUGACUCUAGGGGGCAGUGCUCAUCCCUGUCUCCAAGCCGUAGAGCCAGCGUUUGUCCAUAGGCAGUUUCCGUGGUCACGUGGCCAGCGCGACUAGACACAGAUCGCCAUUACCUUCCCAACAAGGUGGUACCUAUUUAUCUACUCACAUUUUACAUGCUUUCAAACUGCUAGGUUGGCAUGAGCUGGUACAAGAGAUGGGAGCUCACUCCGUUGCGUGGAUUCGAUCUUACGACUGCUGGUCUUUGACUUUGCAGCACUGAGGUUUCUGUGGUUUAACCCACAGCGCCACCAUGUCCCACGUUCUGGGAGGCGGAAUCCCACCUCCCAGAACCAGACCUUACAGACUUCUAAACUGUGGUCACCUGGAGAGAAGACUCAACCAGCAGGCUUCAGGCCUGAGAUAGGCCUAAUUUCCUGUUUGACAAGAAAGAUGGUUGCUCGGUAGCCUCUUUUUCAAACAGGAAGCUAGGCCUAGCCAAGCCUGCCAGUUGGGCCUUCAGUCCAGGUGAGCGCAAUUUAGAUGCCUGUGGGAUCUGACAGGUGGGACUCCCAGAAAGAAGAAUUAUGAGAUAUGUAGUACACAAAAUCCAAAACACUCAUCCCUAGUUGCUAGGUCAGCAGCAUGCCAGUCCUGAGAUCACAAGGUCAACCCCUAAGUAUAGACUGUCUUGAUAUCACAGAACAGACUCUUGUGAUACUGGGGGUGUGAUAUUGUUAAGCUUUUUUUAUUCAUGCAGGUAACCUCUACCAAUAGGCCAUUGUUACAACUGUGUUUUGCCCAGUCUUUAGCUCAAGUGUCUUGGCAGAGAUGUAAAACAGACCCAGAUCGAAGCCUGCCAGUAGGCUCUGGCUUCAUAUGAGGGAC
ensembl:lncRNA